GAUGAACGCUGGCGGCGUGCCUAAUACAUGCAAGUCGAGCGAACAGACGAGGAGCUUGCUCCUCUGACGUUAGCGGCGGACGGGUGAGUAACACGUGGAUAACCUACCUAUAAGACUGGGAUAACUUCGGGAAACCGGAGCUAAUACCGGAUAAUAUAUUGAACCGCAUGGUUCAAUAGUGAAAGACGGUUUUGCUGUCACUUAUAGAUGGAUCCGCGCCGCAUUAGCUAGUUGGUAAGGUAACGGCUUACCAAGGCAACGAUGCGUAGCCGACCUGAGAGGGUGAUCGGCCACACUGGAACUGAGACACGGUCCAGACUCCUACGGGAGGCAGCAGUAGGGAAUCUUCCGCAAAGGGCGAAAGCCUGACGGAGCAACGCCGCGUGAGUGAUGAAGGUCUUCGGAUCGUAAAACUCUGUUAUUAGGGAAGAACAAAUGUGUAAAUAACUAUGCACGUCUUGACGGUACCUAAUCAGAAAGCCACGGCUAACUACGUG
rnacentral:rRNA from 1 species